rnacentral:lncRNA from 1 species
CUCUGAGCUGCUGCCACCUGCUGGGCUGGAGCUGGAGCUGGAGCUGCGAAUUCGGAGUCCCGGUUCCCUGUGCCACCUGGCGAGCUCAGCAAACUAAAAGUCUCUUUGUCUUCAUCGUUUCCGGCACUGAUGUGAGCACAUCAUAAGCACAAGACCUGGACACCUUUACAAUCAGAGGGCCUAGGACUGGAGCUCUGGAUCUGACCGGAGCAAAGAGGAAGCACGCAAAUCCGGACAUGACGACGAGGAGGCAGUAGAGACCCAUCCUCAACUGUUCUUGUCCUAGAGCCUCUUUCCCUACUUCUAAAUGAGUGGAAAGCCACCCACAAGCCCGUGAGUGAGGAUGCCCUUGGUAAACCCAGGUGAUCACACCCUGGGCAGGCCCUGCCCCACAGGGCCCCAUCCCGCUGCUCCCCAGCCUGUCCUCACCAACUGCCCAGGCAGGAGCAAAGCCCACGGGGAGGACCUGUGACCACAGGCAAGGACCACGGACCCCAGCCCCAGGGAUUUUGACCUCAAGAAAGGAAACAUCCACAAUUUACCCUCCAUCUGGUGAUCCAGCUGCAUCUGGGGUGGGUUUGGUCUCUGCUGGGACCAUGAGGUUCAGACCACCAAGAAAUAGCACUAGCACAGGUGAAAAUCAUGGGCAAACUUUAUUGGCAUAAAUCACAGGAAUUGAAAUGGGAAAAGCCAGCUUGGAAGUUUAC